AGGCGACGCAGUCGGCCCAGGCGCGGGGCCGCUCGGCCACCAGGCUGCGGUGCAGCGCCUCGAGCACCUCCAGCGGCUGCGUCCCCGCCAGCCGCAGCGUCCGCUCCACAAAGCGCCCGUCCCUGCGCCGGGGGGGGGGGCACCGGCACGUUUGCACCCCAACGCGCUCGCGCCGCCGCGAGGUUGCAGCGCGCAACCGCGUUUGCAUGGCUGCGAGGUUGCAUCGUGCAUGCAAAGCGCGUUUGCAUGGCUGCGAGGUUGCAGCGUGCAUGCAAAGCGCGUCUGCAUGGCUGCAAGGUUGCAUUGUGCAUGCAAAGCGCGUUUGCAUGGCUGCAAGGUUGCAUCUUGCAUGCAAAGCGCGUUUGCAUUGCUGCGAGGUUGCAUCGUGCAUGCAAAGCGCGUUUGCAUGGCUGCAAGGUUGCAUCGUGUGUGCAACUGCUUUUGCGUUGCUGCGAGGUUGCAUCGUGCGUGCAAAGCGCGUUUGCAUGGCUGCGAGGUUGCAGGGUGCAAGCGAUUUUGCAUUGCUGCAAGGUUGCAUCGUGUGCGCAACCGUGUUUGCAUGGCUGCGAGGUUGCAUCGUGUGUGCAACCGCAUUUGCAUGGCUGCAAGGUUGCAUCGUGCGUGCAAAGCGUGUUUGCAUUGCUGCGAGGUUGCAUCGUGUGUGCGACCGCGUUUGCAUGGCUGCGAGGUUGCA
rnacentral:lncRNA from 1 species